rnacentral:rRNA from 1 species
AGAACGAACGCUGGCGGCAGGCCUAACACAUGCAAGUCGAACGCCGUAGCAAUACGGAGUGGCAGACGGGUGAGUAACGCGUGGGAACAUACCCUUCGGUUCGGAAUAACUCAGGGAAACUUGAGCUAAUACCGGAUACGUCCGAGGUUUAAUCGACCUUGGAGAAAGAUUUAUCGCCGGAGGAUUGGCCCGCGUCUGAUUAGCUUGUUGGUGAGGUAAUGGCUCACCAAGGCGACGAUCAGUAGCUGGUCUGAGAGGAUGAUCAGCCACAUUGGGACUGAGACACGGCCCAAAACUCCUACGGGAGGCAGCAGUGGGGAAUAUUGGACAAUGGGCGAAAGCCUGAUCCAGCCAUGCCGCGUGAGUGAUGAAGGCCUUAGGGUUGUAAAGCUCUUUUACCCGGGAAGAUAAUGACGGUACCGGGAGAAUAAGCCCCGGCUAACUUCGUGCCAGCAGCCGC